rnacentral:rRNA from 1 species
UGGGGAAUAUUGGACAAUGGGCGCAAGCCUGAUCCAGCCAUGCCGCGUGAGUGAAGAAGGCCUUAGGGUUGUAAAGCUCUUUCACCGAUGAAGAUAAUGACUGUAGUCGGAGAAGAAGCCCCGGCUAACUUCGUGCCAGCAGCCGCGGUAAUACGAAGGGGGCUAGCGUUGUUCGGAAUUACUGGGCGUAAAGCGCGCGUAGGCGGAUACUUAAGUCAGGGGUGAAAUCCCGAGGCUCAACCUCGGAACUGCCUUUGAUACUGGGUAUCUUGAGUUCGAGAGAGGUAAGUGGAAUUCCGAGUGUAGAGGUGAAAUUCGUAGAUAUUCGGAGGAACACCAGAGGCGAAGGCGGCUUACUGGCUCGAUACUGACGCUGAGGCGCGAAAGCGUGGGGAGCAAACAGGAUUAGAUACCCUGGUAGUCCACGCGGUAAACGAUGGGCACUAGGUGUGGGGGGUAUCCACUCCUCCCGUGCCGCAGCUAACGCAUUAAGUGGCCCGCCUGGGGAGUACGGCCGCAAGGCUA